AGCUCACUAUCAUGGCAGCUUUGUAACUACACUGCCAGGGCACUUUCUGUCCCCAGUGCCCUGAGGUGGGUUGGGGUGCUCCCUUUAUACUAGGCACAUUGCUUGACAUGACUGCUACUGCUGAGGGGGUAGUUAGGCAGCUUCUCUAGCUUCCCUGGGCAGUAUGCAUUGUAGACCUCAUAGUGGGGAGUGCCGUGUGGGCACACUUCGUUUCCGCUGAGGAGUUGGGGCGGUGACCUGCCAGCCAGGACCACCAGCUGCGGGAACAAUUGCCUCUCAGCAGUCAGACUAGCUGACUUGACUUUUACUUUGCUCACCAAUAGGUAUUUUAAGGACACAGGCCGUGGAAGAAGAGUGAAAAACUAUUCUAAUUUACUGUGUGACUGACUCAAAAGUGCAAACAGGGUGACACACCAUAUGUGACUUCAAUACCAAAGACUACAGGACACAAUAUUUCCUGAGCCUCUAUUCUAAAAGAUAGGAGGAAGAGGCCACUGCAUUCCCAAACAGCAACAUAUGAACCAGGAACAAUUCUUCUAGGAAGUUAGACAAUGGAUGUAUUGGGUCAAACUAACAGAGCUUUAUGAGGAUUUGACUCUGAAGGUGCCGAAUUGCUUCUCUGCUGUCGUAAGAGGCAGGGGAUAAACCAGCUCUCAGUCUCCCUUUUGUAUGUCCUCGACAGGAUGAAACAAAAACCACCAACGCAAUCCACAUCAAGAGGCUUUAGAUCCACUUUCCAGCACUGGCCUUUAUUUUUAUCUUUAUGCAUUUAAAGAUUAAAGGUCCUUGUCACAAUUGUGUUGGUUGGUAUUUAUAACUUUAGUAAUGCUUCCAUGUAUCUUUUUCCCAAUGCUUCAGUGGACAGAAUACUCUGUGAGUGGAAGUAAGGGUUCAUUUUCCUUCACUCUGUGUAAAGAUUCAAACCUCUCACUCUCCAAAAGUUUUCCUUAGUCACCAGCCUAUAAAACAAAAUACUUUUGUAGGGCUCCUGGGGCUGCACUGUUGAUCUGUGAGUGUGUGCAAAGCCAGUUCAAGUUGUAAUGCUCACUUGCAACUGCUAUAGAAACCAUGUAGGUGACAGGUGUCGGUGCACACCUGUGUUUCCUGUGGAAUAUGUUGUCAAAAUAUGGCUAAGGUGCGCUCGCUGUCAGGAAGUUAGAAAAUAGACCUGGCACCACCAUUUUUAAGUUACCUUAAAAAUAUGAACAUUUCAGUAAAAAAGGAAACAGCUUGAUAUUUGGCUGGGGAAGAUAAAUUAGAUUCUAGUAUUAUUCCCUAUCGUUUGUAUUUCUACUCUGUGAUGUAGACCCUACUGGGAUCAAGCACUGUGACGCUCUGUCUGGGUUUCAAAUCUCAGAAUUCUGAAUACCGCUCCUAGUAACUGAAAGCAUCUGGAAAUG